AGAGGCCAAACGCUGAUGCCCUAGCUCCCGCUGGGGAGACUCCUGCCACCGACCCAAGGACUGGCCAUACCUGCAGAGACUAGACGCUGACCAGACGCUGGAAGAGCCCCUAAGCUGGCCGGUACAAAGGGACCCUGAGGAGCUGCCCAGUUUACCCCUCGCUCAGUAUUCCGAGGAGCCCAUGGUGUGGGACGCUGUGGAAGAUGCCGCCGAGAUAGAGGCAGCCCCAGAAGUGCUGAGGAAAUAGAUGGGUCAGUCUUCUGGGAGCAAGUGGGUGCCCCUGUGAAGAAGGUGAGAGGAGCCAUAGAGAAACUCCUACCACUGCGAGAGGAGAGAAGAUAUUUCCAGCUUCCUCAGGAAGCACAGAACCUACCUUCCCCAGAGGACAUUUUAUUCAAGAUGCCACCUGUUUAUAAGCUGUGAUGAUGAAGAAUUUUGACAAAUGUACAUUUUCCUUUGACUCCCUGGCUCUCCUUCUUGGAGGGUCUGAAGACAGAAACAUCACCUGUUUCUUUGCUUAUUGGAAUUAGCAAAGGGUUCUUCAUAAUAAAAAGGAUCCUAAUGUUUCUGGA